rnacentral:sRNA from 1 species
UAUCUUCCAUUUCAUUUAAUGGUUAAGAAAAACCUCGAGAUAUGCUAAAUUUUAGAAAGGAAGAUGCAAAGGAACAAUGAUGAUAAUUCUUAUUUCGUUUUCAUCCAUUCAGAUCCUUUAACAGAAAUACCUUAGACUGAGUUGUUUCACAAUAGAAAUUACUGGUCACAAUUCUAAAGGCCAAAAUCCUCAUGAUGUGCGGCACUCUUUUGUUAUGUCUCCCCCAGGGCAGAGGAGCAAAGGGGUCUGAUCAGCACUCAGAAGCAGCUUUUAUAAAGUACCUACUCCAUGUAUGAGAGGAUGCUGGGUCCCGAUCCCCUCCCAAAGGAGCAACCCUUGUAACAGUCGGUCUGUGUGAGCUGGGGAGAGGGGUUCAUCCACACCACAGCACAUCCACAUAGAACACUCACUGCUGCACACAGAGAUCAUCUAUGGUUAUUCUGCUAAGCGUAACUUGUCUUACUGUCUGCCACACUUUCCUUUCCAAGUUCACAGCAAGAAAGACUAUAUGAUAAAAAAUGGAAACUGAAACAACAUAUCACUUAUUUUAAAACCAUAAGGUAUGUUUAAAAUCAGUUUAAAUGUUUAACAUGCGUGGUUAAAGUAUGUUAUUUAUUCUACUUCAACACUCAUGGAUACUCAGAGAGAAAAAAUAAAAUACAGUAAAAAGUUCAUGCCUAUAGUGUUUGAAAUAAGACUUUAUUAUGCAAAAUUUUUGGGAAGAGUAUAAUAUAUCUCCACACUACAUGAUCAAGAAUGGCAAGGGCCCGCUCCUUCCACAGCUCAAAUUCACAUGGGUGGGUACAGACCCAUGGGGAGACAUCAUGCACUCUUUAACUUAAUUUCUGGUGGAAAACCUCAUAAAGCAAUGAAAUGGUCUCUGUGAUUAUGGAAGCAAACAAGAUGGAAGGCUGUUCCUAUAUGAAAUCACCCAAAAAAGUCCUGAAAAAAAUAAAACACCAUAAUUCAAGUAACAGCCAACUAUGCCGAAAGUCAAGGAGGGAAAAUCAAGUUGGAAACCGAGAAGCAUCAAGGCUCAAAAGGGUGAACAGGUUGUCAUGUUCAAGAGGCAGAGAGGAAGCCAACAUGACAAAGCACAUAAAGAAAAGCAAUGGAACCAUGUUCCAGCACUGGCUCUAUUGAGGUACAUGCCCUGUUCCUGCUUCUCAUCGAUUGUCUUAAUUAACUCUUCCAGGGCGAUGUCUGAAGGCCGCCCAGGGGCCCCAUCCCCUCACCUAGAUGUGGGCUAACCUAGGACCCAGACUAAGGUGGAGUUCCUACAAGUGACUAGAAUGUCAUGAUCAUCUCAUUGUCUAACAAGCCCUUUGUCCUCUGUGCUGGGAAGGCCUUAGCUGCUACUCAAAACUGACAAGUUGGACUCCUUUUUACUACUGCCUUGUUGCCAGCUAUCCGAGCGUGAAAGGCCGCAAAGCCGUGGGUGCUGGCUGUCCCACAUCACAGGCAUGGCAGGUGGCAGCCCAGACUGAACCAGAGCCUCACUUGAACAUGAGCAUUAGCCAAUGUAAUAAAAGUCUACCUUGCUUAAAGUGUAUCUGUUUUUCUGCUUACAAUGGCUUGCAAUGGAAGUGCAUGGUUUCCUGCUUCUAAUAAAAUCCUUUAAAAGCAAAAAAAAAAAAAAAAGAAAAGCAAAAACAGGCCAGACGGUGCUGUGAGCCACAUGAUAGGGUUUGCUGUUUCUGUUCUCCACUUAGGAAAGCAGGCACUAAAAGCAGGAAGGAGCACAGAGAUCUCUAUGUGGUGUUACAGGAUCCUGAGAGACUCGGCCAUGACAAAGAGGAAGCUGCUACAAGAGCCACUGAAGAAGGAGGUAAUGGUGGCCUAAACUAGAGGACAGCAAAGGAAAGUGGAAAAGCCCAAGUGUACACAGGUGUUAGACUCCAUAGUAUUUACAGACAGUGGUCAGGAUAUGAGCCAUGAGGACUAAAACAAUCUCACACAGCUUUUGAGAUCCUGCCUGAAUCACAGUUCACAAAGCUGACCCUUAACUGUUCUUAUAGUGACAGAAAACAGGGCAAGAAUACCAGGAAGUCCCUACCACGUGAAGUAGUAGUGCGUCCAUGCAGGGUUUACCUUGUCACUAUCUAUGAGAUAGAGGGCAUUAUACUAAACUAAAGGUUCCAGCUUCCCAUCUCCUCACAUCUCCUGUUCUUAGGGAAGAUUAAACAUGAUCCUUUAAAAAAAAACUACUAAAUAUAGUCAGUGUGCUCAAAACUAAAUUAAAGCUACUGUAAGUCACAGUGUACUGUGUUGGCACUCAGAACAGAAAAAGCCCUCAGUACAUAUUCUGUGGAUAAAUCAGAAGUACAAAAAAAUAAAAUAAAAUAAUAAAAUAGCUUAGGUCUUCUGAGUGUAUUACAUAAUCCUUCCACAAAAUUAUCCACUCCUCUCUAGACAGGGAGUAAGUCAGUGAGUGCCCUUACAUUAUGAAAUCAACCAAGAACACUAUGGAAUAUUAACAGGCUUUUAGGGUACAAGUAGGUAUCACAAUCCAAAGUCUUGAGAGUUCAGCAUUCAACACAAUUAAGUCCAUUAACUAAAAUAAUACAUAAUUCCUAAACCAUAAAAUGAUUGAAAAGCUUACUGGCCUAUUAGGUUGAUGAGUCAGCCAGAAUGCAAUGUGAAAAAAGCACCCGUCCUAGAAACUAGUUAAACCACCAGAGAACAAGCAGUAAAGAGCCACCGAAAGCCUAGACAGUGAACAAGUGUGAGUGGCAGGAAAGAGAA